AGUGAACGCUGGCGGUAGGCCUAACACAUGCAAGUCGAACGGCAGCACAGUAAGAGCUUGCUCUUACGGGUGGCGAGUGGCGGACGGGUGAGGAAUACAUCGGAAUCUACUUUUUCGUGGGGGAUAACGUAGGGAAACUUACGCUAAUACCGCAUACGACCUACGGGUGAAAGCAGGGGAUCUUCGGACCUUGCGCGAUUGAAUGAGCCGAUGUCGGAUUAGCUAGUUGGCGGGGUAAAGGCCCACCAAGGCGACGAUCCGUAGCUGGUCUGAGAGGAUGAUCAGCCACACUGGAACUGAGACACGGUCCAGACUCCUACGGGAGGCAGCAGUGGGAAAUAUUGGAAAAUGGGCGCAAGCCUGAUCCAGCCAUACCGCGUGGGUGAAGAAGGCCUUCGAGUUGUAAAGCCCUUUUGUUGGGAAAGAAAAGCAGCAGGUUAAUACCCCGCUAUUCUGACGGUACCCAAAGAAUAAGCACCGGCUAACUUCGUG
rnacentral:rRNA from 1 species